GUCGGAGUGGUGGAACGGCAGACACGCUAGCUUGAGGUGCUAGUGCCCAUUUGAACGGGUGUGCGGGUUCAAAUCCCGCCUCCGACACCA
rnacentral:tRNA from 3 species